rnacentral:tRNA from 1 species
AGGGGUGUAGCUCAGUUGGUAGAGCGGCGGUCUCCAAAACCGCAGGUCGUCGGUUCAAGCCCGGCCGCCCCUG